AACGUAGGUUCCGAGCGUUAUCCGGAUUUACUGGGCGUAAAGCGCGUUCAGGCGGUUUGGCAAGUCGGGCAUGAAAUCCUUCGGCUCAACCGGGGGAGGUUGUCCGAUACUGCUGAACUGGAGGCCAGUAGGGGGAUGCGGAAUUCCGGGUGUAGUGGUGGAAUGCGUAGAGAUCCGGAGGAACACCAGCGGCGAAGGCGGCAUCCUGGACUGGUCCUGACACUCAUGAGCGAAAGCGUGGGGAGCGAUCCGG
rnacentral:rRNA from 1 species